rnacentral:rRNA from 1 species
UACGUAGGGUGCGAGCGUUGUCCGGAAUUACUGGGCGUAAAGAGCUCGUAGGUGGUUUGUCGCGUUGUUCGUGAAAACCGGGGGCUUAACCCUCGGCGUGCGGGCGAUACGGGCAGACUUGAGUACUGCAGGGGAGACUGGAAUUCCUGGUGUAGCGGUGGAAUGCGCAGAUAUCAGGAGGAACACCGGUGGCGAAGGCGGGUCUCUGGGCAGUAACUGACGCUGAGGAGCGAAAGCGUGGGGAGCGAACAGA